GACGAACGCUGGCGGCGUGCUUAACACAUGCAAGUCGAGCGGAGCGGCGAACGGGUGAGUAACGCGUGAGUAACCGCCCCCCUCUCUGGGAUAACAGUUGGAAACGGCUGCUAAUACCGGAUAGUGGGGGAUGGCUCGCGGCCUAUCAGCGUGUUGGUGGGGUAGGGGCCUAACAAGGCGACGACGGGGAGCCGGCCUGAGAGGGCGCGCGGCCACAUUGGGCAGAGAGACGGCCCAAACUCCUACGGGGGGCAGCAGGGGGGAAGAUUGCACAAUGGGGGAAAGCAUGAUGCAGCAACGCCGCGUGCGGGAUGACGGCCUUCGGGUUGUAAACCGCUUUCAGCCAGGACGCGGUAGUGGCAGAAGAAGCACCGGCUAACUACGUGCCAGCAGCCGCGGUAAUUC
rnacentral:rRNA from 1 species